UACGUAGGCAGCAAGCGUUGUUCGGAGUUACUGGGCGUAAAGGGUGCGUAGGCGGUUGUUUAAGUUUGGUGUGAAAUCUCCCGGCUCAACUGGGAGGGUGCGCCGAAUACUGAAUGACUUCGAGUGCGGGAGAGGAGAGUGGAAUUCCUGGUGUAGCGGUGAAAUGCGUAGAUAUCAGGAGGAACACCGGUGGUGUAGACGGCUCUCUGGACCGUAACUGACGCUGAGACACGAAAGCGUGGGUAGCAAACAGG
rnacentral:rRNA from 1 species